ensembl:lncRNA
AGAAGAUUCCUGCUGCUCUUUGAUCUAAAUUUCCCCAAUGCAUCCUUGAAGAUCAUGCACUUCAUGAAAAGGCUAUGUAAGGUUGAUCUUGCAAUCCUGGACUCAAAGGAUCCUCCCAAGUACCUGAGAUGAAGAGGCACAUCGCCAUGCCUGGUUCAGGAAAAGUCAAUGGUGCUUCAGGAGCUGUCUGAGGCCCAGGAAGAAAUGGACUUCAGAUCAACUCACCCAACACUGAAAGUGAAGAGCCACGAAGUAUGAGAAAGACCUACCUCAGGAACCUUGCUUGAGUCCCAGGUCAUCCCUAACCCAAGACGAGGAACCAGCAGAUUCAAUUUUUGCUUAGAAUUGCUCCCAACAGUCUUGCAGAGUGAAAUGGGUUGUUACAAGAGAACAGACUAGGAUUUCCCCCAGUCUCUCACUUCCUGUCUUGCCAUGGAAGCCUUGUCACUCAUGAUCCUUCCACUAUGAGGCCUUCC